rnacentral:lncRNA from 1 species
GUUUGUGUGUUAAUGUUUUUAAUUGUGAUUUUUAUAAAGUGUGUAAACGAUAAGACUUUGCUGCAUACAUACAGCGAGUAAAUUGUUCCUCUGGACGAGCUCAACAUUUUAUGCAAUAAGCCUAAACAUGUCCGACCGUCUGUUAAAGUUACAACGGGAUGAUUCUUAAAAGUAUAGUAUUGUGUGUAUAUCUUUUUAAAGGUAACAGAUACCAACCUACUAUAAACUGCAAAG